AGUGAACGCUGGCGGUAGGCCUAACACAUGCGAGUCGAACGGCAGCACAGUAAGAGCUUGCUCUUACGGGUGGCGAGUGGCGGACGGGUGAGGAAUACAUCGGAAUCUACUUUUUCGUGGGGGAUAACGUAGGGAAACUUACGCUAAUACCGCAUACGACCUACGGGUGAAAGCAGGGGAUCUUCGGACCUUGCGCGAUUGAAUGAGCCGAUGUCGGAUUAGCUAGUUGGCGGGGUAAAGGCCCACCAAGGCGACGAUCCGUAGCUGGUCUGAGAGGAUGAUCAGCCACACUGGAACUGAGACACGGUCCAGCCUCCUACGGGAGGCAGCAGUGGGGAAUAUUGGACAAUGGGCGCAAUCCUGAUCCAGCCAUACCGCGUGGGUGAAGAAGGCCUUCGGGUUGUAAAGCCCUUUUGUUGGGAAAGAAAAGCAGCAGGUUAAUACCCCGCUGUUCUGACGGUACCCAAAGAAUAAGCACCGGCUAACUUCGUG
rnacentral:rRNA from 1 species